CAAUCAGCGAGACUCCGUGGGAGUAGGACCCUCCGAGCCAGGUGUGGGAUAUAAUCUCGUGGUGCGCCAUUUUUCAAGCCCGUCAGAAAAGCGCAGUAUUCGGGUGGGAGUGACCCGAUUUUCCAGGAGUCCUAACCUAAAAUAAAAUAGAACAUACUGUGCUUAAAGCAAGGGGGGAAUCAUGUAACAAUAAAACCAGUGAAGAAAAUUCUAAUGCUCAGAAAAAGUGGAAAACAGCUGGUCCUCAGGAUCCUCCAGCCUUUGCCAAGGAAAAGUGGUUUUAAUCACUGAAGAAUGAGGCUUCAACAUAUGGAAAGACUGUAAGGUGUUCCUGGACAGCAAGUGAGUGACUUGCUCACAGGCGGUAAUUCAGGGACCCAGGUUUCUUCUACCUGGUAGCUCUACUGUCCUUCAGAACCUCAGAGCCCUGUGCAUUCAGCCAGCAGGAGAAAGACCACUACUAAGGUCAUUCACUUUGGGAGAAGCCAGUCUUCAUGCCAUGAGGACGUUCAGGCAGCCCUGUGGAGAGAACCACAUGGAAAGGAUCUGAGGUCUCUCACCAGCACCAAUUUGCCAGCUAUGGGAAUGGGCCACCUUGGAAGGAGACUGUCCAGCCCAAGUGAAGGCUGCAGAUAACUGCAGCUUUGGCCAACAUUUGGCUAUAUUGCUUUGGGAAAUCUCAAGCCAGAACCAUCUGGCCAAGCUGCUCUUAAAUUCCUGAUCCACAGAAGUUUUGGAAGGCCCUCUUGUGUGAUCCAGAGAGGUUGCAACAUUUUUUG
rnacentral:lncRNA from 1 species